GACGAACGCUGGCGGCGUGCUUAACACAUGCAGGUCGAACGGAAAGGCCCUGCUUUUGUGGGGUGCUCGAGUGGCGAACGGGUGAGUAACACGUGAGUAACCUGCCCUUGACCUUGGGAUAACUUCAGGAAACUGGGGCUAAUACCGGAUAGGAGCUCCUGCUGCAUGGUGGGGGUUGGAAAGUUUCGGCGGUUGGGGAUGGACUCGCGGCUUAUCAGCUUGUUGGUGGGGUAGUGGCUUACCAAGGCUUUGACGGGUAGCCGGCCUGAGAGGGUGACCGGCCACAUUGGGACUGAGAUACGGCCCAGACUCCUACGGGAGGCAGCAGUGGGGAAUAUUGCACAAUGGGCGGAAGCCUGAUGCAGCAACGCCGCGUGCGGGAUGACGGCCUUCGGGUUGUAAACCGCUUUCGCCUGUGACGAAGCGUGAGUGACGGUAAUGGGUAAAGAAGCACCGGCUAACUACGUG
rnacentral:rRNA from 1 species